rnacentral:lncRNA from 1 species
GGGCAACCUGAAAGCCUUUGUAUUUGAUCAAUUCCUUCAAUCGGUCGACAAUGAAGAGCUCAUCGUCAUCAUCAAUGUAACCGAUGUCCCCGGUGUGUAACCAGCCAUCUUUGUCAAUGGUCCUAGCUGUGGCCUCAGGGUCAUUAAGGUACCCUGCAUUCAAUGUUCAGCAACAGGGUUCAUAGUUUGUUUCCAAGCUUUCGAAUUUCAUGUGAUUUAUUUAUUUUUGACUGAUUUACCUUUCAUGAUCUGAUCUCCUCUAAUACAGAUCUCUCCGGCUUGAUUUCUUGGCAGGGAAGAACCAGUGUCGGGAUCAACAAUUUUCAUCUCUGCGUUCCUUACUACAGUCCCACAAGCCCCGGAUUUUAUUUCGAAUGGUUCCUUGGCAAAUCCUAAGCACAUUGCUAGAACUGGUCCUGCCUCGGUCAUACCGUACCCCUGUACCACGUUUUCAAUAUGUUAAUAAAAUCUGCUCCAUAAUGUCGACUCAUCACAUUCGCAUUCAAUUGAAGUCGGUGAAAAUCCAAGGUGGUUGUUGCGGGCUCAAAAAGCCUACGGUUCCAAACCGGACGGUAACAAUGGGACAAAGGAGGCUGGCCAACCGCCGCCACAAUUAAAGGGAAAAUUCAAAUGAUAACUUGAACUGUAAAGUUGACUAGAUGUGUUAGGCAAGAGGAUUGGGUCAACGAUGAUUGUCUAAGAGAUAUAUCCAUUAUCAUGGAACACAU